UUAUAGCUAUUGAUUUCCCACAAGCACCAGCAGAGGGAGAAAACCAGAUCAUGACCAUGCAGCUAAACACCAUGCACACACAACACUACAAGCAGCAGUACCUGAUGGUGGUAACUCCCGUCUCUCCGAUACGAGGUCUGGACAAAAGCAGGAUUAAACACAAACGGAUUUUAUAACACAAGGAUUAGUCACAUGGACAUGAUGCCUGUGUUCUCUGUGCAUUCACCCAAGCAUCAAGAACAUUCAACCCAUCACAUAUAGAAUGCAGCCUCACCCGUUUUGAGCUGCAGGUGGAUGCCCGGAGCGGACUGCCAGGAAGCUACGGGGACGGGGAUGGCCAACACCACGGGAGCGUGCUGUCUGAGGUCACUCAGGAGCUUAUCGAAGCCGUAUGAGCACCUUUAAAGGGUUCUCCAGUUGGUUCUUCUGUGGGAACACCUAAUGGUUCAACAUGCAGCCCUACAACAGAGGAUUUUUCUUACAAGUAUAAUAUAUUUAGAAGUCUGAACUGUUAACUAUUCAAAGACCCAUUAAUAAGCAAUUUUUCUGAGCCUUCCACCACUUCCCAGCAAAUUGCUUUUUUUGUUUUUCUGGUCCUCUUCAAACUGUGUGGUGUGAAAUUCAAAUAGAAAAUGGACCAAAAGUAUCAAUUUCCCUCUGAUUUUGGUUCAGCAAAGACUAAUAGGUGAGAAAACACCCUUCGAAUGUGAGAAGAUGCCGGUUUACACAAUGAUUCCCAGAUGCUUACAAAGAGAGGAAAUUGUUCUACUUGUUCUCGCACAAUGUGGAGAAGAUAGUGUGUGCAAUACAAACACUUCCCACGCCACUGCCUACACACCACCCACCACACACUUCACAGUGAAACUACAAUUCCCAUGGUGCUGUGGUGAUACAAAUCCAAAUACCCAUCAGAUUCUGUGUUUGAUUGAAGCACUGCACGGGCAUCUGUUGCAUACGUGAAAAGGGGGUUUGUUUGAAAUAGACAGUUUUGGAUUACAGGAUGUGCACACGAUGUUAGGCACUGUUUCCAAUGGCAAAAAAAUCAUUCAUGGGCAUUCGUUUAAUUAUUUUAUUCAGUGUUCCUUUUCCCUGUGCUCUCCUCAGUGUAGAUUUCUCAAAUGAAGAAAUGCUAAAUGGAGCAUAUAGGCUAA